rnacentral:sRNA from 1 species
AUGGCUGUCGUCAGCUCGUGUCGUGAGAUGUUGGGUUAAGUCCCGCAACGAGCGCAACCCUUGCCAUUAAUUGCCAUCAUUUAGUUGGGCACUUUAAUGGGACUGCCGGUGACAAACCGGAGGAAGGUGGGGAUGACGUCAAGUCCUCAUGGCCCUUAUGGCCAGGGCUUCACACGUAAUACAAUGGUCGGUACAGAGGGAAGCCAACCCGCGAGGGGGAGCCAAUCUCAGAAAGCCGGUCGUAGUCCGGAUUGUUGUCUGCAACUCGACAGCAUGAAGUCGGAAUCGCUAGUAAUCGCGGAUCAGCAUGUCGCGGUGAAUACGUUCCCGGGCCUUGUACACACCGCCCGUCACACCAUGGGAGUGGGUUUUACCAGAAGUAGUUAGUCUAUCCGCAAGGGGGACGAUUACCACGGUAGGAUUCAUGACUGGGGUGAAGUCGUAACAAGGUAGCCGUAUCGGAAGGUGCGGCUGGAUCACCUCCUUUCUAGAGAAUAAAUCUCUCUAUAAGCAUUCACACUUAUCAGUUGUUGGUAGCACAAAGAAUUUAAGUAAUUGGCCCUGUUUAGGGUCUGUAGCUCAGCUGGUUAGAGCACCGUGUUGAUAACGCGGGGGUCGUUGGUUCGAGCCCAACCAGACCCACCAGUUUUAAUUAAUAUGUAACUUAAAAUGGGGGAUUAGCUCAGCUGGGAGAGCACCUGCUUUGCAAGCAGGGGGUCAUCGGUUCGAUCCCGUUAUCCUCCACCAAUUCUUUGUAUAAAAAAGGUAAGCCUUAAGCGUUUAUUAAAUUAAAUGUUUAAGGCUAGCUUUUUAGCUAGUAUGUUCUUUAACAAUAUGGAAGAAGUAAAUUAGAAAUCAUAAGAUUGUGAUGAGAUUAUGAUUUCAAAUGGGUAAUGAUUGCAAAAUCAAAUACUAAAUCAACACUUUGCAUCUAAAUUUUAUAUUUAGAUAAAAAGAGUUUUUAAAGUAAGCUUUAGAAGAAACUAUAAUGACCGUCUCAUGCGGGAAAACGUAAGUAGAAAAGGGCUUAGGUUUUAAAGUUAUAGGAUCAAGUGAAUAAGUGCAUAUGGUGAAUGCCUUGGCGAUUACAGGCGAUGAAGGACGUGGUAGUCUGCGAAAUUUUUCGGGGAGCUGGCAAACAAGCUUUGAUCCGGAAGUGUCCGAAUGGGGAAACCCGG